AGUGAACGCUGGCGGCGUGCUUAACACAUGCAAGUCGAACGAGAACGGAUUAUAGCUUGCUAUAAUUGUCAGCUAAGUGGCGCACGGGUGAGUAAUGUAUAGGUAAUAUGCCUCUUACUAAGGGAUAACAAAUGGAAACGUUUGCUAAUACCUUAUACUCCUUAUUAACAGAAGUUAAUAAGUGAAAGAUUUAUUGGUAAGAGAUUAGCCUGUAUUGUAUCAGUUAGUUGGUGGGGUAAUGGCCUACCAAGACUAUGACACAUAACUGGUUUGAGAGGAUGAUCAGUCACACUGGAACUGAGACACGGUCCAGACUCCUACGGGAGGCAGCAGUGGGGAAUAUUGCACAAUGGACGAAAGUCUGAUGCAGCAACGCCGCGUGGAGGAUGACACAUUUCGGUGCGUAUACUCCUUUUAUAUGAGAAGAUAAUGACGGUAUUAUAUGAAUAAGCACCGGCUAACUCCGUGCCAGCAGCCGCCGUAA
rnacentral:rRNA from 1 species